rnacentral:rRNA from 1 species
GCGUUGUCCGGAAUUAUUGGGCGUAAAGAGCUCGUAGGCGGUUUGUCGCGUCUGCUGUGAAAACCCGAGGCUCAACCUCGGGCCUGCAGUGGGUACGGGCAGACUAGAGUGCGGUAGGGGAGACUGGAAUUCCUGGUGUAGCGGUGGAAUGCGCAGAUAUCAGGAGGAACACCGAUGGCGAAGGCAGGUCUCUGGGCCGCAACUGACGCUGAGGAGCGAAAGCAUGGGGAGCGAACAGGAUUAGAUACCCUGGUAGUCCAUGCCGUAAACGUUGGGCACUAGGUGUGGGGCUCAUUCCACGAGUUCCGUGCCGCAGCAAACGCAUUAAGUGCCCCGCCUGGGGAGUACGGCCGCAAGGCUAAAACUCAAAGGAAUUGACGGGGGCCCGCACAAGCGGCGGAGCAUGCGGAUUAAUUCGAUGCAACGCGAAGAACCUUACCAAGGCUUGACAUACACCGGAAACAUCCAGAGAUGGGUGCCCCGCAAGGUCGGUGUACAGGUGGUGCAUGGUUGUCGUCAGCUCGUGUCGUGAGAUGUUGGGUUAAGUCCCGCAACGAGCGCAACCCUCGUCCUAUGUUGCCAGCACGUUAUGGUGGGGACUCAUAGGAGACUGCCGGGGUCAACUCGGAGGAAGGUGGGGAUGACGUCAAAUCAUCAUGCCCCUUAUGUCUUGGGCUUCACGCAUGCUACAAUGGCCGGUACAAAGGGCUGCGAUACCGCGAGGUGGAGCGAAUCCCAAAAAGCCGGUCUCAGUUCGGAUUGGGGUCUGCAACUCGACCCCAUGAAGUCGGAGUCG